UUAAUUAAAAUAAAAUAAAAUAUUAAGUCAUGCAAAAUUGGAAUGAUACAGAGAAGAUUAGCAUGGCCCUUGCGCAAGGAUGACAUGCACAAAUCAAGAAAUGGUCAGGCUUACU
rnacentral:snRNA from 1 species